ACUACUGAGCUAAAUCCCCAACCCCUAUAACCUCAUUUUUAAGAUGGGCACACAAAAGAAAAAACAGAAAAAAUCAUGUCUCUUGAUAGGGAAAUGAUUCAAUGUGUGAUAGCUCUUUGACGUAGCAGAAAGUUGUGUAGCUUUUUAAAGAACUGUAAUGUGGGCUAUUCAUACUGAGAUGGAUUGGUCUGAGGUCUGAGGUCAAGUGAGAAUGAGUAUGCUGGGCAAUGUUGGUGCACAUUUUUACCCUAGCACACAGGAGGCAGAGGCAGGCAGAUCCCUGGGGUUGAGGCUAGCCUGGUCUGUAGAGGGAGUUCCGGGGCAGCUGGAGUUACACAGAAACCCUGUCUUGAAAACAACAAAGAAAAUGACAAGUGUGUACAGUGUAUGUUGCCGCUUGCAUAAACAAUAAAAGAGGUGAGAAUACAUAGGCACAUACACAGAGAAUUCUAGAGAAUGCAUUAGUAGUAUAUGCUUCUGGGUUAGGGAUAAAGAUCUACUGUGAGAGAAUGAACGAAUCAAUCAUUCCAUCCUUGGGUGAGGUGGCUUAAAGUUAGCCAUGUCUCCUCAAGAAUGCUUUCCCACAGGGUGAGGCUGACACUCAGGGAAGGGUCAACGAGCUUCAAUAAAACAAAAAGAGACAUAUCUUGGGGUGUCAAAGUGGGCACACCAGAGAGAAUAAGGAGCUAGGUGUCCUGAGUCUUCCGUUGUUGUCUUCCUCCUACUCCCCCUUCUCCCUGCUUCUCCUUCCCCUCCUCCUUCCCCUCCUCCUUGUCUUCCUCCUCCUGCUAAUCCUCCUCUCCCUCCUCCUCUGUAAAAUCGAAGUGGGCAUGAAAUCACAUUGGUCCUGGUGCCUGUGGUGGGGGCCUUGAUUGGGAACACUACUCCACUCCCUUCCCACAAUGCACCAGGGAGGAAGCAAUUAGCAGCUUCCUGUCAUUGUUGGUUUCCACUUUGCAGUUAGAGGCAGUUUUGUGUGGUCUGAAACUGGGGAUGCAGGUUUGAGGGGAGAUGAGCUGACUGCACUUAUGACACUAGUUUAGUGGCCACCUUUUGUUAGCUUUGGGACAGGAAGGCGCCACUAAUCCCUUUCACUGCCAUGGGUUUACCUUUAUAGUGUUGUGGCUACUUUGGGCACCUAAGUUCCUCCCAUGGUCUGACGUUUACUAGUCAGUGCUAGAACACUUUAAGGACUGCUUUCAGAAAUGUUAGCAUUUAAAGUUUAAGGUUCCUGUUUUAGACUCGCUUCCUUUCUCAAUCCCCUAAUUCCUUGCCAACCCUAAGAGAUCUGUGUAUCUGAGAUAACUCACUGCAUUUGGUGGCAGGAUUGUUGUUUUGUUCUUGUUUUUCAGUAUUGCAGGUAGAACCAAGGGCUCUGUGAAAGCUAGACAACUUUAUUCUACCUUUGAGCUACAGCCUUAGCACUGAAGUUCUUUCUUCUUUUGUUAAAAACAUGUAUAUUGGGCUGGAGAGAUGGCUCAGCGGUUAAGAGCACUGACUGCUCUUCCAGAGGUCAUGAGUUCAAUUCCCAGCAACCACAUGGUGGCUCACAACCAUCUGUAAAGAGAUCCAAUGCCCUCUUCUGGUGUGUCUGAAGACAGCUACAGUGUACUUAUAUAUAAUAAAUAAAUAAAUCUUAAAAAAAAACAUGUAUAUUUAUUCUUCUGUCAUUGAAUAAAAAUAUAAUGAUUAAGGUUAUUUUGGAAGAAAUAUAUUUUGUUCGUGUUAAAUGUUUAAAUGCUACCCAUAAGGAGAAGUACAUUGGCACAAGUUGGUUGUUCCGGUACUCUGGGGGCUGAGGGGAAGAAUUUGAAUUUAAAGCAGUAUUAGAAACUUAAAGGGGCAAGAUAAAUACUAUUUUUUUUAACGUUUUAGAUUUAUAUUUCUAUUUUAUGUAUAUGAGUUUUGCCUAUAUGUUUGUAUGUAUACCAUGUGUGUGCCUGGUGUCUUCAGAAGUGAGGAGGAGUCUCAGAUCCCUGGAACUGGAGCUAUAAACGGUUGUGAACUCCGUGUGGGUGAUGGAGUUCAGGAACCACUGAACUGUUGCUUCCAUGACCCAAGAUGAAUAAUAUUAAAUAUAAUGAAUUCUGGGCAAAAUUGGUCUUGUAACAGUCCUUUGUUCCUUGGUCUGCCUGUUUACUUAUUUGUACCUGAGUUUGGUUACCUCCUUCCUUUCAUCCUGGCCUGGGCUGCUGGAAUUAGUUCCUGGAAGUUCCUGUGAGCUCCACAUACCUCUUCAGCACAAGCUCAUUCUCACUGGCCUGGUCUCUUGCUUCCAGGGGAAUCUAUAUGUUUAUUUACUUUAAUUUUAUUAUCUAUUUUUAUUUUAUGUACACCGAUGCUCUGCCUGCAUGUCUGUCUGUGUGAGGGUGUCAGGCUCCCCUGGAACUGGAAUAACUUAUAGUUAUAAGCUGCUGUGUAGUGCUGGGAAUUGAACCUAGGUCCUUUGGAAGAACAGUCAGUACUCUUAACUGCUGAGCCAUCUCUCCGGCUCAGUCUAUAAGGUUUUAUAGCAAUUGUUCUCUGACUAGAACUCCCGACUACUGGAAGCUUCUUUGACUUUGUUCCAACAUGCAGUGACUCUUCCCACCUGGAUAAACAUUAGGGAAAGGACUUACUAAUUUAGAACCAACAAUCUGGAAACAUACACACCUGUAAGACGCUACUAUUAUGAAGCUUGUAACAGGAGAAAAUGCUUACCAGGUACUUGAAAUUAGGAGACAAGCAGGUCAUGUCUAAAUUGUGAUUUUCAUUUUGUAAAAGUAACAUGGAGAUGUAGUUUGUUAAGGUAGUUAGUUAUUUUCCUGUUGCUGUGUUAAAAUACUACAGCCAAAACUUACUUAGAGAAGGAAGAGUUUAUUUCAGCUUAUGGUUCCAAAGGAUUAAGAGUCCAUCACGGUGGGGAAGCACGCCAGCAAGCGUCAGGCACGGAGGCAGGAGCAGGAAACUAAGAGCCCACGUCUCAACCAUAAGCACAAAGCAGAGUGCCCAGGAAGAGGUGCGAUGCUUUUCAUCUCAAAGGCCCCCCCCCCCCCAUACCUCCUCCAGCAAGGCUGUACCACUUAAGUCUCCUCCAGCACCACCAACGGGGGACCAGAAAUUCCAAUGCCCAAGAAUAUGGGAGGUAUUUCUUACUCAGACUACCCCGGUAGCUUUGAUAGUGCCAUUGGUAAGGGGAUACCCCAACCCCCGCCAAUACUCCGAUAUUGUCUUAUGUCAAUGUGUUUUAUAAAACGAAAUGGAAAAAGCAAAUAAUUUUUAAGGUCCUGAUAUGAAAAGCCAACAAAUAUUUUGUUUCCUAUUAAUGUGUGGAGGGAAAAAGUGCCUUGGUCCCAGGUCACAGGAAGCAGCAGUGGUAAUGAAUGACUUUGUAUCUGCAUGUCAAAGCAGAUGACCUGGGAUCUACCACAGCACGGUUGCGCAUGUCAUCCUGAAUUCCAGUAGGUGCUUCCUGUUGAAUGGUUGCCACAGGCUGUGGUUUUGGUUGGUGAUGGGCUGUGGUUCAUUUGUCAUUUGCAGGUUAUCUGUAUGUGUUUUGGUGCAGCCUUCCCCCAGCGAGGUACUUUCUCGAGCUAUUCUCUUGGUUGAUGUAAAUUACUCCUCCAGUGAGGCAGUUGUUCAGCAACUUGGAGAAAGCUUUAGAAAGUUCUCCCUGAGUGGCUAGGCCCCUGACUUGAGGAGAUCUGAUUGAUUGACCACUACUGUUGGAUAGGGCAAUACGGGGAGAUCUGAUUGGCCACUAUUGUUGGGGUGUGAAAUACGAGGAGAUCUGAUUGGCCAUUCUUUUUGGAGCGUGCAAUGCCUUAGGGUCUAUGGAUUUAUAGUUAGAUUGGUUUUUGCUUUUUGUUUUUUGUUUUGUUUUUGUAUUGCAGAGUAAAGUAGAGGCUGGUAUGCUAGCACCCUGUUCGUAAACUUUGAGCCUGCAGAACCAUGAAUACAUUUCUGUUGUUGACAAGUCUCUCAGCGUCUGGUGCUUGAUUACAGCUGCGCAAAUUGAUGAAGACAGUGGAGUUUUUGGACUAUGGCUGGAGGUCUACACGGAAUCGGAAAGCCUGCUCUGCUAUCUGUCAGACUCCAUGCUGGUAUUUGUUACUUCACUCUUCUGGAAGUUGGAUGCCAAGUUGCCCGAAGGACUUGCGUCUCCUGGGAGUGGUGCCUGUCCCCUGCCGUGGAGACCUCCUGAAGCUUCAGGAUCCCUGGGUUGGUGGCACUUGCCUGCCCUCACUUCGUUUGCCUCACUUGACCGUGAAGUUUUUCCCCAGCAGCAGCUGAUGGAGACAAGUUUGACCUGAAGUCAUCCUUAUCCUAGAGGGAGGGAAGCACGUUCAGCUAGGAGACCUGAGCGGGGAGAGAGCCUAGCAUCAGCCGCUAAAGUCCACAAGAAACUUGGCUGCUAGUUCUGCACGUUUGUUUGGUUUAUUUGGUUUCUGUCUAGAGUCAAGAAACAUGAGAAAUACAAAGAGGAAGAGACUAGCCAGA